UACGUAGGGUGCAAGCGUUAAUCGGAAUUACUGGGCGUAAAGCGUGCGCAGGCGGUUGUGUAAGUCAGAUGUGAAAUCCCCGGGCUCAACCUGGGAAUUGCAUUUGAGACUGCAUGGCUAGAGUGUGUCAGAGGGGGGUAGAAUUCCACGUGUAGCAGUGAAAUGCGUAGAUAUGUGGAGGAAUACCGAUGGCGAAGGCAGCCCCCUGGGAUAACACUGACGCUCAUGCGCGAAAGCGUGGGGAGCAAACAGG
rnacentral:rRNA from 1 species